AACGAACGCUGGCGGCAUGCCUAACACAUGCAAGUCGAACGAGACCUUCGGGUCUAGUGGCGCACGGGUGCGUAACGCGUGGGAACCUGCCCUUAGGUUCGGAAUAACUCCCCGAAAGGGGUGCUAAUACCGGUUAAUGUCUUCGGACCAAAGAUUUAUCGCCUUUGGAUGGGCCCGCGUUGGAUUAGCUAGUUGGUAGGGUAAAAGCCUACCAAGGCGACGAUCCAUAGCUGGUUGGAGAGGAUGAUCAGCCACACUGGGACUGCGACACGGCCCAGACUGCUACGGGAGGGAGCAGUGGGGAAUAUUGGACGAUGGGCGAAAGCCUGAUCCAGCAAUGCCGCGUGAGUGAUGAAGGCCUUAGGGUUGUAAAGCUCUUUUACCCGGGAUGAUAAUGACAGUACCGGGAGAAUAAGCUCCGGCUAACUCCGUG
rnacentral:rRNA from 1 species